AUUUUCAGUUGGCAAAAAGAAAAGCCAAGGUGAUAUCCUGCAUUUUGCUCUUCUUUAGGAAAAUAUCAGCUUCUUGAUGGAUCAGAAUCGCACUCUUCGAUCUACCCUUUUCACUGUCUUUGGUCACAGAUGCUUCAUUACAAGCAGAAACGAGGAGGAGGAGGAGGUGGCAGGAGGAAGGAGAUGCACGUACUUCUUGAAGGAAUAAAAUAUAAUGAAAAG